rnacentral:rRNA from 1 species
UAACUACGUGCCAGCAGCCGCGGUAAUACGUAGGGGGCAAGCGUUAUCCGGAAUUAUUGGGCGUAAAGAGUGCGUAGGUGGUUACCUAAGCGCAAGGUUUAAUUUAGAGGCUCAACCUCUACUUGCCUUGCGAACUGGGCUACUUGAGUGCAGGAGGGGAAAGCGGAAUUCCUAGUGUAGCGGUGAAAUGCGUAGAUAUUAGGAGGAACACCAGCGGCGAAGGCGGCUUUCUGGACUGUAACUGACACUGAGGCACGAAAGCGUGGGUAGCAAACAGGAUUAGAUACCCUGGUAGUCCACGCCGUAAACGAUGAGCACUAGGUGUUGGGCCCGUUAGGGCUCAGUGCCGCAGUUAACGCAAUAAGUGCUCCGCCUGGGGAGUACGCUCGCAAGAGUAAAACUCAAAGGAAUUGACGGGGACCCGCACAAGCAGCGGAGCAUGUGGUUUAAUUCGAAGCAACGCGAAGAACCUUACCAGGGCUUGACAUCCUGCUGACAGGACCUUAACCGGUCCCUUCUUCGGACAGCAGAGACAGGUGGUGCAUGGUUGUCGUCAGCUCGUGUCGUGAGAUGUUGGGUUAAGUCCCGCAACGAGCGCAACCCUUGCCAUUAGUUGCCAUCAUUUAGUUGGGCACUCUAGUGGGACUGCCGGGGAAAACUCGGAGGAAGGUGGGGAUGACGUCAAAUCAUCAUGCCCCUUAUGUUCUGGGCUACACACGUGCUACAAUGGCCGGUACAACAGGCAGCGAACCCGUGAGGGGGAGCGAAUCCCAAAAGCCGGUCCCAGUUCGGACUGUAGGCUGCAACUCGCCUACACGAAGUUGGAGUUGCUAGUAAUCGCGGAUCAGAAUGCCGCGGUGAAUGCGUUCCCGGGUCUUGUACACACCGCCCGUCACACCAUGGAAGUUGGGGGUGCCCAAAGUCGGUUAAUUAAUCUAUCGCCUAAGGCAAAACCAAUGACUGGGGUGAAGUCGUAACAAGGUAGCCGUAUCGGAAGGUGCGGCUGGAUCA